rnacentral:rRNA from 1 species
UACGGAGGGAGCUAGCGUUGUUCGGAAUUACUGGGCGUAAAGCGUACGUAGGCGGUUAUUCAAGUCAGAGGUGAAAGCCCGGGGCUCAACCCCGGAACUGCCUUUGAAACUAGAUAGCUUGAAUCUUGGAGAGGCGAGUGGAAUUCCGAGUGUAGAGGUGAAAUUCGUAGAUAUUCGGAAGAACACCAGUGGCGAAGGCGACUCGCUGGACAAGUAUUGACGCUGAGGUGCGAAAGCGUGGGGAGCAAACAGG